rnacentral:rRNA from 1 species
UACGUAGGUGGCAAGCGUUGUCCGGAUUUACUGGGCGUAAAGAGCGCGCAGGCGGUCGUUCAAGUCGCGUGUGAAAGCCCCCGGCUCAACUGGGGAGGGUCACGCGAUACUGAUCGACUCGAAGGCAGGAGAGGGUAGUGGAAUUCCCGGUGUAGUGGUGAAAUGCGUAGAUAUCGAGAGGAACACCGAUGGCGAAGGCAGAUCUCUGGGCCGUAACUGACGCUGAGGAGCGAAAGCGUGGGGAGCAAACGGG